UAGUCCACGCCGUAAACGAUGUUCACUCGCUGUUUGGGAUACACACUAAGCGGCCAAGCGAAAGCAUUAAGUGAACCACCUGGGGAGUACGUUGACAACAAUGAAACUCAAAGGAAUUGACGGGGACCCGCACAAGCGGUGGAACAUGUGGUUUAAUUCGAUGAUACGCGAGGAACCUUACCUGGACUAUAAUGUGAUUGCCAUUCUGAGAGAUCAGAAGUUCUUCGGACAUGAAACAAGGUGCUGCAUGGCCGUCGUCAGCUCGUGCCGUGAGGUGUUGGGUUAAGUCCCGCAACGAGCGCAACCCUUGUCCCUAGUUGCCAGCACAUUAUGGUGGGAACUCUAGGGAGACUGCCCGCGUAAGCGGAGAGGAAGGUGGGGAUGACGUCAAAUCAUCAUGGCCUUUAUGCCCAGGGCGACACACGUGCUACAAUGGUACAUACAGAGGGUUGCCAAGCCGCGAGGUGGAGCUAAUCCCAGAAAGUGUAUCCCAGUUCGGAUC
rnacentral:rRNA from 1 species